rnacentral:rRNA from 1 species
CGGCGGACGGGUGAGUAAUGCCUAGGAAUCUGCCUGGUAGUGGGGGAUAACGCUCGGAAACGGACGCUAAUACCGCAUACGUCCUACGGGAGAAAGCAGGGGACCUUCGGGCCUUGCGCUAUCAGAUGAGCCUAGGUCGGAUUAGCUAGUUGGUGAGGUAAUGGCUCACCAAGGCGACGAUCCGUAACUGGUCUGAGAGGAUGAUCAGUCACACUGGAACUGAGACACGGUCCAGACUCCUACGGGAGGCAGCAGUGGGGAAUAUUGGACAAUGGGCGAAAGCCUGAUCCAGCCAUGCCGCGUGUGUGAAGAAGGUCUUCGGAUUGUAAAGCACUUUAAGUUGGGAGGAAGGGCAGUUACCUAAUACGUGAUUGUUUUGACGUUACCGACAGAAUAAGCACCGGCUAACUCUGUGCCAGCAGCCGCGGUAAUACAGAGGGUGCAAGCGUUAAUCGGAAUUACUGGGCGUAAAGCGCGCGUAGGUGGUUUGUUAAGUUGGAUGUGAAAUCUUGAAUGUGAAAUCCCCGGGCUCAACCUGGGAACUGCAUCCAAAACUGGCAGUGGAAUUUCCU